GAUGAGCAUCGAAUCAAAGUCAAACUUGUUUUAGAAUAGGGGAGCUUAACUUAUUGGAGAGUUGAUAUUAAGUUAAGAUCCCUAAUUCUAAGAUAAUGUGACCAUUAAUGCAACGUUGUUUUA
rnacentral:precursor_RNA from 15 species